rnacentral:rRNA from 1 species
GACGAACGCUGGCGGCGUGCUUAAUACAUGCAAGUCAACUGAACUUUAGGUAGCAAUAUUUAAAGGGAGGUGGCGCACGGGUGAGUAACACGUAGGUAAUCUGCCUUCAGGACUGACAUAAUUCCGCGAAAGCGGGACUAAUAUCAGAUGAUGCAGCGGCUCGACAUCGAGACAGUUGUUAAACCUUCGGGGCCUGAAGAUGAGCCUGCGUCUGAUUAGGUAGUUGGAGGGGUAAUGGCCCACCAAGCCUGCGAUCAGUAGCUGGUCUGAGAGGAUGAUCAGCCACACUGGAACUGAGACACGGUCCAGACUCCUACGGGAGGCAGCAGUAAGGAAUAUUGCUCAAUGGCCGAAAGGCUGAAGCAGCAACGCCGCGUGGAGGAUGAAAUACUUUAGUAUGUAAACUCCUGUAAGAGGGGAAAAAUAUACAAUUAUGUUGUAUUGAUUGUACCCUCAGAGUAAGCACCGGCUAACUACGUGCCAGCA